CCUACGGGCGGCUGCAGUGGGGAAUAUUGGACAAUGGGGGCAACCCUGAUCCAGCCAUGCCGCGUGUGUGAAGAAGGCCCUCGGGUUGUAAAGCACUUUCAGUGAGGAAGAACGCCUGGUGGUUAAUACCCAUCAGGAAAGACAUCACGCACAGAAGAAGCACCGGCUAACUCCGUGCCAGCAGCCGCGGUAAUACGGAGGGUGCGAGCGUUAAUCGGAAUUACUGGGCGUAAAGCGCGCGUAGGUGGCUUGAUAAGCCGGUUGUGAAAGCCCCGGGCUCAACCUGGGAACGGCAUCCGGAACUGUCAAGCUAGAGUGCAGGAGAGGAAGGUAGAAUUCCCGGUGGAGCGGUGAAAUGCGUAGAGAUCGGGAGGAAUACCAGUGGCGAAGGCGGCCUUCUGGACUGACACUGACACUGAGGUGCGAAAGCGUGGGUAGCAAACAGGAUUAGAUACCCUGGUAGUC
rnacentral:rRNA from 1 species